UGAAAUCAAUCUGUAUUUGAUGUUUGAUUCUGGGUUUAAUUAUUUGGGAUCCUUCUUUUCUUCUAGCUUCAAUUGAUAUGAUCGCUUUUCUUAAAAAGAUUGUGGGAAUUGAUCAUCGGCAAAUUACAUGGCAGAGCUAAUAGUUUUUUUGGUUUGAUAGUUAUCGUGGUCUGAACCAUAUUUAGCAGAGGAAUCUGAGUAAGUUGGGAUUAGUAACAAAAGGGUGUGCCCUUUACUCUAGAUAUUCUAGCUAAAAAUGGGUCUUAUUUUAAACAACUCAUAGAACAAUUUAUCCUUUACAGGAAUUUGUGACUGAAGAUAAUCGUGCUAAACCAACCAGUCUUUGUAAAGCCUCAGGCACUGCAAUAGAAAAGAGAAGAAGGCAAAUCAGUUUCGUCUCCAAUUUCAUAGUCUGGGUGUGUUAAUCAGUUUGUGUUUGUGAAUCUUGGAGCACAAUACUGCAAUAGCGUCUACAACAUUUCAAUUAAGAGUUUAAAGUACUUCACUUUGUAGAUAUACUGCAGUUGGAUUGCUGCUCACUUUCAUUUGGUAAGAAAUGGGAAGACCGAUCCUAUGCUUCCCAGACCUGCAACCCUUUGGACCACCACUGCAACACGAAACCAUCCUGCUUCCGAUAGAAAAAGAACCAUUCAAACAAGCAGAAGAGAAUUAUUCACCUCUGAAUCGAACAAAAAAGCCAAGAGGUAAAUAUUACAGAAAAUUAGUUUCUAUAAUCACUACACUACUAUUUUUGGUACGAAUAAUUAAACCCUCUUGAACCAGUGUUUUGUAACCAUGAAUAAUUAUUUGAAUCAUCAUACCUUGAAACAAGGUGCUGUAC